GUGCAAAUCAUUUUUUAGAAUAAGAGUAAGUUGAAUGUAGACACGUUGACAGGCUUUUAACUGGAAAGUGGUUAGCAGAGCCUUCCUCUCCCAUACAAUGGUUCAAAUUCUUUCUAAAACAUGUAUUCUAUCUUAAAUGGUUAAAACAUUUCGUUACUAGGUCUGUGACUCUGCAUGCCUCUGUGCACAUUUGCAAAUGCUGAGGAAUAAACAGAAGUGUGUAUCUAGUGGCUUUAUACAUAUUUUGAGAUUUGGACCACUGUUGCUGCAGAAAGCAAUGUCUCUAGAGGGUCAAGAUGAACAAGAGGGUGUUGAAGAUUAAACUCUGUCUUGUGGAAUUAUUAGCAUGAUUAAAUAGAGCCAUUCGUAGUGGUGAAUAGAAAAUUGAAUGAGUUAAGGCAUUUGUAUUUCAAAUAGUUUAAAUCUGUAUUUAUUUGUGCAUGAUCUGAGUGUGGUCAUAAUUUCUCCCAUCAGAGGAUGGGGCUGGCUAAUUUCUGAAGGAGGACUGGUGAUUAGGAGAACUGCUUUUGUGACACUAAGCAAUGUAGAGUUUCUGUGUCUUUCUGGCUUUGUCUUACUCUCAAAUGACAAUGAGCACUUUCAGAUUUAUUUUAAAAUCUUUGAGGAUAGUGGUGACUUGUAAAAUUUUUAAAUUGGAAAACCAAAUUUUGGAAAACCAAACUGAGUAUUUGGCUGACGAGAGCUCUUAUUUAGUCCAUAUAAUUUUGUUAUAAACCAGCGUGACUUGAAGGUUUGCUUUUGUUGGUCUACAUCUGUCUUUCUGUGUUGUGGCAUCUGAAGAGUUUCAGUAAAUCCAUAAUUGGAUGCAACUGUCUCCCCACAGAAGAACUAUUUUGGAGUCUUUGCUAGCAGUGCCAAUUGUGUGGAUAAAAGUGAAAUAUUUCAUGUAAUGUCUCAUCCGGUCAGAAAAAAUGAAGAAUGGUUUGAACAGAUCCUUCUAGGAAAACAACUCUCUGAUUUGUACAUGGAGAAUGAGAUCUAUCCUGUAGAAGUUUCUGGUUUUGUAAAAACACCCUGUUGGUUGUGACUGUGGUAAUAGGGGCAAGUGCACCAGCACAUCUGUAUCAUCUGCUGUGAAGAAUGAUCCUGUAUAGGACUUCAAAGUGGAUGCAAAGUUUCCUUUUUAAUAAACUUAAAUUAUAGUUCCACUCAUGCAUACAGUUCUAUUAGCCAGUACUUAGCUUAGUACUUUCAAUUAAUGAUUGCUGAUUUGUUAAUACUACUAUGUUCUCUGACAAUCCCAUAGGCGAGCUAUGGAAGUUAAUUGUUUAAUAUUAUGACGAGAAUGUGUAAAACUAGGUAGGAAAUUGAACUCAUGGAGCAGUCCUUAUUAUCUUGGAUCGUGAGGUGCAGAAUUCAUUUGUUAAGUUUUCAAAUGAGAGUGACGUUGGGAGCAGCUAUAAGCAUGAGGCAGAAUAUUGGAAUUCAGAAGGACCAAGGCAAGCCAGAGAAGUGAUGGGCAGGUGUCCCUCUCCGUGGCAGGGGCAUUGGAACUAGGUGAUCGUUAAGGUCCUUUGCAAUUCAAACCAUUCUGGUGAUUCUGUGUUAUAGCAAACAGGAUGCAACUGAGAGAGAAGAUGUGGUUUUGCAUUUGGAGAUAAAUUAGCUACACAACAACACGAUGAGGAGCAAUUGGUAUGGUCAAAGUAGGAGGCAAUAUCUUUUUUUUUUUCCCAAAAAAGUGCUUCUGAAUAGAAAUGAAAGCAGCACUCAUCCCUAAGUCUGUCCCAGACUUGUAGCAGCAAGGGCUGCAGUUUAUUAGACUUCAGUCUAUGGGCACUUGGAGGCAGUUGAAGCUUUUUUGGAUUCAUUGUCCUUUAACAGUACAUAGUGUAUGUUGCUCAUGGGCCAGGUGACCCCUGCUGGCUGCUUAGAGCAUUUGGUCACUGAGUUACCUGUUCAUGAAGAUGGCCUUGGUGUCCCAGUUGCUUGUUGCUUGCCAGAAGGCACAUAAAAGGUGACUUUGCUAUGCUUUCUGCAAGUCCUGGGCCAUUUUUUACUUGUAAUAAGCCAUAUGUUGUCCACUCUAGGCAGCAAGCCUGUGCCCAAAAGAAGGUAAGCAGAUUUGGCUAUGCUGUGAUCUCUCCCUUGGCAGUCUCAGUAUCUUACCAAACUUGGAUCAAGUGUGCAUGGUCCAUUAACUGGACUAAAUCAAGUAUUUCCCAGCCUUUAUAUUAAACUAUUAAUAAUAUACAUAUGUAUGUAUAUAUUUCCAAGAAUGGCUUGAAAAUAAAUCCUAUCAAGUGUCUGACGUUAAGUUCUGUCAGUUUAAAUAUCCACAUUAACUGUGACUGCUCUUGUAUCUCUCUAAGAACUCAAACAUUUGUUUAAUCGAGGUUGAUUACAGGAAAUCACUUUUAAUCCCCAGAUUAUGGUGCUAUUUAUAAUGUUAAAUAUUCCCUAGCAAAUCUUCUUCAUGGUCUUUUAAAAGAUCAUUGCUGUUUGUGCAUGUGCCAACACCAUACCACUAAAUGUGAGGUGCCUGCCAACCUGUUGCAGCUGUUAGCUCUAUAGCUAUAUAGAUAAAGCUGUAUAGCUGUAUGUAGCGAUUAGGUCCUCUGUUUGUAGCGACAAAACUUGCUUUUGUUGCCAUCACUGUAAAUGCCUGUGUUUUACCAGCUCUGCUAAUGGCACCGUCUCUGCUGUUGCCACCCGUGAGCAGUGAGCGUUACUGGGGCUGUCCCAUCUGCAGUGGUGAUACCACUGGCAGUUUUUCUGUGCAGUCUGGAUUUCAUUCCAAAGCUUAUAUGUACCAAGCACUGUCCUGGUCAGGAAAUACUCUGAAACAGUGGUUGAAGGCUUGAAGUGGAGCAGGGUUGAUUUAGGGAAGAAGUUUAGAGAAGCUUUUUAAUGCUAAAGCAAGGUAGGUACUGAGUUAAUGAUGCUCUGCCAGGGAUCACCAGAAGUUUUUUUUUCUUUCAGCAAACCUGGAGUUGAAUUAUAAGAUCCUCCCUAUCAUCUGCUUGUUGUGUGGCAUGCAGGUGGGAACGUGCCCAAGUUCACCCACUUCAGCUUCCUCAGUAAACAACCCCAGCUGACAAGUUAUUCGUGGAGCCACUGUGGUGUAACUCAACUUCACAUCACAUUUGAUCAUUUUGCAGUUCACAGGAUGCACGUUCAGCAUCCUUUCUUCCAGGUACUCUCCCAGCUUCACACCUGCAUCAAGUUCUCUUUUGAAAGCGUAGGAUAACCACCGCUUCAUAUUCAGCGAGACUGGAUGUGACCGACUCUAACUAUUGGCAGGAAAUGCUGGUCUUUGGUAACAGGAAGCAAACAGAUUUUGCAAUCAUUACAAUAAACAUGUUCCUAUGGAUCCCAGUGGUUUUCCUCUAGAGGCUUCUCUGGAAAGCUUCCUGUUAAAGCCUUCCGAAGACAAGCCAGACUAGUGUCAGCGUUUACAAGCCACUGCCAGAACUGAUACAGGAGAUGAGAUUUCCUGGGUCUCAUUUGGUGACAAAUCAAUGUAGAAGCUAUUGAGAAAAUUCUGGAGGAGAAGGACCUGAUCCAGCUCCCAGAAAGGCUUCUGUUAGCAACGGCGAACUGGACAGACUUCCUUGUGUGAUUCCACACAAGAACUAGCACUGUUCCAGGAAAUAACUCUUUGGACAGCAGAGCAAGCACUUCUAAAGCCACUAUCUGGACAUCACAUUUGUUCAGCAGAUUUUUCAGGGCAGCCAGAAGCCAUCAAAGCUGGUGAAUGUAAAUGUUCAGCAGGGAUCUCAAGGAACAAGUUCCGGUUAGAGUAGCUAAUUUUGGAGCAAAAUCUUGCUGAUGGAUAGUGAGUAUUGCAGCCUGUAAGGGAGAAUUUUGCCUGUUGUUGGGGAGGGGCUUUAUAGCUUUGAGUUGGCAUUUAAUUGGCAAUGCCAGUGUGUUCAAAAUACGCAGUGCUCAAGAGGCAUUUGGACAAUGUCCUCAUUACUAUGCUUUAACUUUUGGGUAGCCCUGAAGAGGUCAGGCAGUUGAACUCUGAUCUUUGCAGGUUCCUUCCAACUAACUGUUCUUUUCUUCUCUUCUCAAGUGGUGUCUUCCACUGGAAUUUUACUGUUUUCUGUUUUGGCAGUAGGAAUACCCCAGACCUUCCAGAUUCUUGUGACAAUUAUAUCCCCUUUCUUAAAGGGAUUCUGCCUCUUAUCUCCACUUCUGUGGAAUUCAGUUGCUCAAAGAAAGACAUACAGCCACUCUUUGAGAGAUCCGGUUUACUCAUGGAUUCUGUGCUUUGUCUCUUCUUUCUCUGUCACCAUUUUCUUCUAGAAAUCUUCUCUUGUUCCUUAGCUAAAUGUUUUUCAAAGCCAGCUUCCCUUUUGUCAGUACUACAUGGUUGAAACCAGUCAAAUUUUGAGUUUAACAAAAAUGGAGUAUGAUGUCUGGGGACCUUGCUACAAGAAAAGUGUCGGCAAACUGGGAAGAGUCCAGUGCAGCAGCAAUGAGGUGAAAAGGAGUCGGAGCAUUUGACACACAAGGAGAAACCAGGGGAACUGGACUUGUUCAGCCUACUGAGGAGGAGGACUGGGGAAGAGGGAGGUCUAAUAGCAGCCUUCUGCCACCUGUGGAGAGAUUAUAGAGAAGAACUACACUUUUCUUGGAGGUGCAAAGAAAAAUGAACAUGGAAGUGAUGAGCACAACAUGCAACAAGGAAAAUCUGACCUGGGCAUAACAGGGACAAUUCUUCACCAAGAGAAUGAUGCAACUUUGAGAUAGAGUCCAGAGAGGUUGUGGAUGCUCCAUCCUGGGAGAUUUUCAAAAUUUGACUGUAUGAGACCUUGAGCAGCCUAAUACAGUUUUGAGAUUAGCCUUGCUUGAAAUAGAAAGUUAGGCCUAAUGACCUUCAGAUGUGCCUUUCAAUCUAUUUUUUUUCCAUAAUUCUCUAUAAUUGCUAAGAAGACAGCAUUUCAGUACCUGGAAGUUCAGUAAAUUGCAGUUACUUCUCAUGGCAACUCUGAGCUGUAACAAGAUAUUCAUAAAAUUCUGUCAGCAAAUCUCUUCUUAAAAACAGGUAUUUUUUAAUAUCAAGAUUAUUCACGAUGGAGUACUGAUUUGUAUAGGUGCAUAAAGGUGGUUGGCAAGUUUUUUUUCCAGGUACUUUAAAAGUACCACGUCUUACUGUUACUUUUUUGAAAUGUGAGAAUAUAAUAGGUUGCUGUAAGCAUUCACUGGAUUAAUGGUAUAAAUAUAUUGGAUGUAAGUUAGGGUAUAAGUUUGCCUAGUAUUAAGUGGUAUGUACAAAUAGGUUUAGCUAUUUUUUUUCCCUAACCCAGUCAGGUAGUUCUUUAUUAUAAAAGGCAUCAUUGGAAACAUUACCUACUAAACAAUCCUGAUUGUAUUUGAUGUCUUCAGCUAAAAUAGUAAUGUUUUAGGUGGAGAAAGGGGACUAAGAGGAAUGAAGAGUAUCCAGUUCUUGGUUUUUGUUUUGAUUUGCAUUGUUAUUCACUUUUCUAGGACGACUGUACUGUCUGCUUGCAGCCCAGUUACCUGAAUUGUACAGGUAAAGAACGUCUCCACAUCUAAAGAAUUUUGUUCUAAUAAAUGGCAUUUUGAAUCUAUCAUUAUUUCUAGGCUUCUGACAUUGUUGAAAUGAAUUCCACCAGAGAAGCUGAUCAGUCAUCGUAGCCACUCAUAUGGAAAAAAUGUUCCAUUUAGUGUGUGAAUUACAAAAGUGAAGUGAAGAGAGAAAGCCCACCAGCACACAUGGAAGACUUCUGUCUACAAAUUCUUCUUCGUACUGGACAGCAUCUCUAGAAUCAUAUAAUCUGAGAUUUGUAGGAAGGAGCCAGUAGGGAUCAGAAUGAUGUCAUUCCCAUAAAAAGAAAAAAAAAAAGAAAGAGGCAGAACAUGAGAAUCAAGAUUGAAGAGCUGUUUUUCACAUCCCUUGCUUGAUACAAUCAAAUGGUAGAGCAAUAUCACCACUUCUUCAGGGUCUUUAUGUGCAAGACUGAAAGCUUUUCUCAAGCAGAGCAUGUUGUGGAGGUGAAUGGAGGAGCACAAGACAGAUUGCAUGUUCUUCUGUUUGACAGUUCAGACCUAACAGGUCAGGUCUGUAGAUGGAAGUACCAAAGCAUAGCUUAGAGUAGCCCUAAAGCUUCUUUAAGUUGUGCUUGGAAAACAGUUGCUGGACUUGAAAUUUAUUUUAAAAGCAUGUUAAGUUCAUGCCAUCUUUUCUGUAAUUACGGUAUGCAUGGUAUUGUCACAACCAAUGAUUUGACUUCUUCGGUAUUGUUUAUACUUCAAUAAAAUUCCAAAAUAUAA